CGUGAACAACGGAUGCAGCCGGCGACGCCGCCGCCGACGCUCCGAUAAAAACAAGCACGCCACAUCUAAAGGCGGCUCAGUUCCGACGCUCCUAUCGACGAGCGUCGUCCGUGUCGAAGUUUCGUCCUGCGAGUUUCUCGCAACGUCAAGUUCGCGUAUUCUUGUGAUUCAACAACCAAACACAAAAAAUCAAACAAAAUCAAAAUUCCUAUAACUUUUAAUUAAACGCAUUUAAUUUGUGCGCUCGCAUCAAUACAAAUUAUAAUUAUUAACGUGUAAGAAACUUUUUCAUCAUUUUAUCACCAAAAACUUAAAUAAAUUGUUCGGCCCGGAUCAAAUUCAAGUUCAAGAUGAAUAACCAAACGUGCAUAGCGAAAUUCAAAAAUCAAACGGAAGAAUUUCGAUCUAGUGCUGUAUUAUAUUGCCCGACGGUUUUUGACACAUUUUUAUGCUGGGGACCAACGUUAGCAAACACAAGCAUAAGUCAAAAUUGUCCUGUGCAGAGAGGGGUAGAUCCUACAAAAUUUGCGUGGAGAACGUGCACAGCUGAAGGCAAAUGGUCCAACAACGGCAAAGAAGAGCUUAUUGAUCAGGGAUACACAAAUUACACAACGUGUAUCACGAAUUUAGCUCACGGUGUACACGAUAUGUGUCAACGUCUGGGAGAAGGCGCAUGUGAUACUAUUGUAUAUGCAACUCGUAAAAUUGAAAUGGUGGGUCUAAGCUUAUCACUAAUAGCACUAAUUGCAUCUUUAGUCAUUUUCUACAGAUACAGAGUGCUUCGAAACAAUCGAACAACAAUCCACAAAAACCUGUUCAUAGCAACACUGAAUCAAGUGAUUAUACGAUUAAUUAUAUACAGUGAUCAAAAGUAUAAACUAAUUGAAAAUAAGCCGUAUCUCUGUGAAAUGUGCUACAUACUGCUGGAAUUUUCGAAAACAGCGACAAUAAUGUGGAUGUUCAUCGAAGGAUUGUCGCUACACAACGCUAUGACAGUGGCGGUGUUUCAAGAGUAUUCAUUCAUCAAGAUUUACUGUUAUGCUGGCUGGUUGGCGUCCAUCUUGCUCACGUCGAUAUGGGCCAUGUCGAUGGUUUAUACAGAAACUGGAAUAUGUUGGUACAUGUACAACUUCCAGAGCAACUAUUGGAUUCUCGAAGGACCAACGAGCGCUUUGAUUGUGAUCAACAUGUUGUUCCUCCUCAACAUAAUACGCAUUGUUGUGAUGAAGUUGCGCAACAGUAACAUGGGCGAAUUCGAGCAAAUGAGAAAAGCAGUGAGAGCAGCCAUUCUAUUGGUGCCGUUAAUGGGCACCCUUAACGUGCUCUUCAUGAUCGACUACAGGAUAUUCACCUCGGCGUGGAUGUUCGGUCUCUGGGCAUUUAGCACGUACUUCUUCACCUCGUUUCAAGGAUUCUUCAUCGCGAAUCUGUACUGUUUCAUGAACGGCGAGGUGCGGGACGUCGUAAAAAAUAAUUUCUCGCUGUACAUGUCGUUGCGCACCGGCGGCGUGGGCGGCGCGCAUCUUCAUCAGCGUAACUCAAGCGAAGUGACGCGUCUGUCCUCGCUCGAUCCGGAAGUAUGACAAAGCGCCAAAAAAUGCGAAUGGUUUAAGGUCUGCUGUUGUCGAGAUAAUGAAUCCAACGACAUCCAGAAAUUCAACGAAACACGUGUCUGACAAACAAUUUGCAUUGAACUAAUUGACACGACCAAAUUACCGGCGCAAUCGUUGGCGUGCACGGCGUCUACGAGUUCAUCCAGAACCCUCAGGUCGCACCAGCAUCCGCAACUACAACGACACAGACAGCUGCAAAACGGAUGAAUGCCGACAAUGCAAAACUUAAUUUAAUUUUUACAAAGAAUAUACGGGUAAACUAAUAUUAGAAUUCACAUGAAAUCGUACAAAGUACAAACAACUAUAGGCAACAUAUUACAGUAUACCUAUAUACUAGUUACGUUUGUGUAAAGUAGCGCUUGGAACUGUUCCUUUUAUUGCGUAGCUUUAAUUUGAAUAUGUAAGAUACUAUCAAAAAAUGUCAGUAUUAUAUACAAUAUUAAAUUAUAAACUAUGCAAAUAUUAGUGAUUACAUUAUUUUCUAGUCAAAGAGUCAUUUGAUGUUAAAAUAACAAACAUAUUUCAAAGUGAUAUUUUGUAUUAAAUAUUAAAUAAUAUUUUGUUUUUUGCCAACGACAGAUUAUAAACUGAAUAAAAACACAACAAAUA